CCCUUGUCUUUAGUUGCCAUCAUUAAGUUGGGCACUCUAGAGAGACUGCCAGGGAUAACCUGGAGGAAGGUGGGGAUGACGUCAAAUCAUCAUGCCCCUUAUGCUUAGGGCUACACACGUGCUACAAUGGGUAGUACAGAGGGUUGCCAAGCCGUAAGGCGGAGCUAAUCCCUUAAAGCUACUCUCAGUUCGGAUUGUAGGCUGAAACUCGCCUACAUGAAGCUGGAGUUACUAGUAAUCGCAGAUCAGA
rnacentral:rRNA from 1 species